UGGGACACUGAGUGGCUCCUCCCCCUUUAAAAAAAUAAAAUAAAUAAUAGCCAGUUGUUCAAGAACAGCAAUUUCGUCAAGGUGAUAAAAAAAAUAAAAAUAUAUUUAAAUGUUGGGGUGGGACACUUCAGAUUCUAGAGAGCAUUUGAUUGGACAGAAAAUCCGAUGAGAAGCUGAAGUGCAAAAUUGCAUAUAGAUAACCUUAAGUCUAACAUCUUCAUACUAAAAAGUCACAACUUCGCUUUUGAUUUCAUGGGGACUUUAAAGACUGAAUAUAACUGUGCUGUUCUGUACGUCAGUGUUUCGUUUUAUUUGUGUAUCUGUGUUUCUUAUAAGUGCUGAUGGUUUUAACUGCCCAGCUCAUGGCCUGUACUGAAGCUGUUAAGUUAAACUCUUGUCCUCAUCACAGUGGCUGGCCGUGGACGAGGGAGAGGACGCGGCAGAGAAAGAGGACGUGUCACAAUUCGAGGUUGAGCCAGAAGCAGGUGCAGAUAAUGACAUUUAUUGAAGGAAACGUACUAAGAAACGAAUACACUGACAACUUGGAAACACACUGUGGCAUGAAAAAACACAGACAUAAACAUGAAUCUAAGACUACUUGGCAGAAUACUGUGGCAAAAUUAAACAAACUAACAAGAUCAAGAAACAUGGAACACAGGGGGUCUAAGACAACGAAAGACAAGCUAAUGGUGCCGACAAGGACUAUAUACACAUGAGUGCUCAUUAGCCAAAACAUCAGGUGCAGGUGGCCAUGUGACAACUAGAGCAGUGCAGUGGCUGAUGGGAAGUGGAGUCCAGAGUUUCCCGAUACGUGACAGAACCCUCCCCCAAGGGCGCUACUCCCGGAGCGCCCAAAAUUAUACCUCCUCCAUCUGGUGGUCCUGACUCCCUGGAGAAAAUGUCCCCCGCAAAACCAGGAGGCCGGGCGGCUUCUACAAUGGCACAGGGAGGCUGAGAUAUUUCCUCGGCAGAGCAUGAAAGCGGGGCGACGUGCUCCACGGGACAGGAGAGGGGAGCGAGGUUCUCCGCGAGGCCCGGGAGAGGAGCGACGUCCUCCGCGGAGCAGGGAGGCGGAGCGAAGUCCCCUGUAAGGCCAGGGAGAGGAGCGUGGGUCUCCUCGAAGCAGAAGGGGGGAACGCUAUCUGCCAUGGGGCAGGGAGGCUGAGCGACGUCCAUAGCUGAACAGGGAGGCUGAGCGACGUACUCAGCAGAGUGGGCAGGCUGAACGAGAGCCAUAAUAGGGGAGGGAGAUGGUAUUAGCCCCGACCACAAACUCCCACUUGUACCUGGCGACCUGCUGCUUUCGUAGCGCAGCUUGGUAAUCUUCCGACUGUUGGCGUAACGUGGCAAAGUACUCCACUAACAUCGGUGGCAUCCUGACGCCCCAGUUAUCCAUCCUGGCGAUCUGCUGCUUCUGGUUGUAGGUCUUUCGUUCCGUCACAAUUCGAGGUUGAGCCAGAAGCAGGUGCAGAUAAUGACAUUUAUUGAAGGAAACGUACUAAGAAACGAAUACACUAUGACAACUUGGAAACACACUGUGGCAUGAAACAAACACUGAGACAUAAACAACAUGAAUCUAAGACUACUUGGCAGAAUACUGUGGCAAAACUAAACAUAAACUAACAAGAUCAAGAAACAUGGAACACAGGGGAUCUAAGACAACGAAAGACAAGCUAAUGGUGCCGACAAGGACUAUAUAUACACAUGAGUGCUCAUUAACCAAAACAUGAAUCAGGUGCAGGUGGUCAUGUGACAACUAGAGCAGUGCAGUGGCUGAUGGGAAGUGGAGUCCAGAGUUUCCCGAUACGUGACAACGUGGAAGAGGUGGACCGAGGAGAUGAAUCAUUUAAGCGCCGCUCCUUUUUCCAUGGCUGGCCGUGGACGAGGAAGAGGGAGAGGACGCGGCAGAGAAAGAGGAUGUGGAAGAGGUGGACCGAGGAGAUGAAUCAUUUAAGCGCCGCUCCUUUUUCCAGUGUUUUUUUUUUUUUUUUUUUCCCAUUUGGAAAUAUUGAUGAAUUUUUCUUUUGUACAUUAAACUCAACUUUUUUGAGAAGUGCUUUUUGUCCAUCAGUGAUUUGAUUGAUGUGAUGUCUCAUUAAUUAAGAUUUGCAUGGUUCUAUUUUUUUUUGUUCUAGUGAUAUUCAAGAUCAAAGUUCUGGGAAUUAAAAUAUUAAAGGAUUAUCGUUUGAUUUGUGUUGCCCUGAGCAGGAAGUCUCGUUUACAUGUUUGUGUUCUCUGCAGUUGAUCAAAUGGAGGACUAGCUGCCUUUAAUAAUAAAAGGUGGAAGAAACUAUGCAGAGAGAGAGAGAGAGAGAGAGAGAGAGCGAGCGAGAGAGAGAUGCAACACCUAUAGAAAUUUCCUCUUGGAUUUUUUUGCAGGCUGCUGACUGACGCCAGCUUCUUCCUCAUCCUCAUGGUUAGAACACUCUGGCUCACUGUCUGUCUGAUUUACUAUUGGAUUUUGUGGUCGAUUUACAGGCUUUAGAUUAGGAAUAGCUGUUAAAUGCAAUAACAUUGCAAUAAGUCUGGAUUCGGAAGAGGCAAACCAGACUUUUUUUGCAGGCUGCUGACUGGUGCCAGCUUCUUCCUCAUCCUCAUGGUUAGAACACUCUGGCUCACUGUCUGUCUGAUUUACUAUUGGAUUUUCAUCACGCUGAAGAUUAGCCAUAUCACUAAAGCCCGGUGAUAUUUCAAGAUCAAAGAUUUCUGAAGAGCCGAGCCUUGUUUUUUUUGCAGGCUGCUGACUGAAGGCAGUUUGUUCCUCAUCCUCAUGGUCGUCCCGGCAUCGUUUAAGAUUGCAGAGUGAAGUUUUACAGCAAUGUGACUCGCUUUCUGUCUGAUUUACCCUCAUAUUUCCAUCAGGCCAACCAGGGCCAUGAAGUUGCUGGCGAAUCAUUGCAAGGGGUUCGUGGUUGUCCUCAUCAUUGUCACCUUCAUGAGGAGACUUGCAUUUAUUCUUGACUUUUUUUGCAGGCUGCUGACUGGCACCAGCUUCUUCCUCAUCCUCAUGGUUAGAACAAUCUGGCUCACUGUCUGUCUGAUUUACUAUUGGGUUUUCAUCAGGACCACCAGGGAUGGGCGGUUGGUUGUCAAUCAUCGCAAAGGUUUCGUAGUUCUUACUGCCAUUGUCACCGUCACAAGAUGACUUAACUUGCACUUCAUGUUCAUAAGGCCCACCAGGGCCAUGAAGUUGCUGGCGAAUCAUUGCUUCAUGGUAGUCACCAUCAUUGUCACCUUCACGAGGAGACUUGAACUGCCGUUUAUGUGAGCCUGUUCUAAAGCUGGACUUUUGUCGUUCAUUAACAGGCUUCUGUAAAUGCACAUCUCCUUUACUUGUUUGUAUGGCAAGGUUGUCAACAUCUCUGAUGCAUGAAGAACGGCACUCCUCACCAUGCACAGUGCUGCAGGUGUGGCCUUCU
ensembl:lncRNA